GCGAAUAGCUCAGUGGGAGAGCGUUAGCCUGAAGAUCUAAAGGCCCUGGUUCGAUCCCGGGUUUCGGCG
rnacentral:tRNA from 1 species